rnacentral:rRNA from 1 species
AUGCGGUUGCAGUGGCGCGAUCCCCAUCAUGGGACGGUGCCUGCGGCUCGAUCCCCAUCGUGGGACGGUGCCUGUGGCGCGAUCCCCAUCGUGGGCAGUGACGGCGGUGCGAUCCAGGGCGAGGGACGGUUCCGACGCCGGUUGGUAGCGGUGGGAGGCCCACCGGAGCAAGGGGCGGCGGGGGAAGGAAGUCAGGUGGCACGCGGGAGGUUGGGUCAGUGGCGCCUCGGGGCAGGGGAAGCGGGGGGCGGCAGCGAGAUCGGGGGAGGUUGGGCAUCGGGUGGAAGUGGUGGAAGAGUGGUGUGUCUUUCUUUCUCCUGCACAAGUUCGGGGAGUUCGUGA